CCUACGGGAGGCAGCAGUGGGGAAUCUUGCGCAAUGGGCGAAAGCCUGACGCAGCGACGCCGCGUGAGUGAUGAAGGCCUUCGGGUUGUAAAGCUCUGUGGGGAGAGACGAAUAAGUAGGGGUCAAUACCCUCUGCGAUGACGGUAUCUCCUUAGCAAGCACCGGCUAACUCUGUGCCAGCAGCCGCGGUAAGACAGAGGGUGCAAACGUUGUUCGGAAUUACUGGGCGUAAAGCGUGUGUAGGCGGCUUUGCAAGUCGGAUGUGAAAGCCCCGGGCUCAACCCGGGAAGUGCACUCGAUACUGCAGAGCUUGAGUGUCGGAGAGGUUGGUGGAAUUCUCGGUGUAGAGGUGAAAUUCGUAGAUAUCGAGAGGAACACCGGCGGCGAAGGCGGCCAACUGGACGAACACUGACGCUGAGACACGAAAGCGUGGGGAGCAAACAGGAUUAGAUACCCUGGUAGUCCACGCCGUAAACGAUGGGUGCUAGGUGUCACGAGUCUUUGACUCUCGUGGUGCCGUAGCGUAACGCGUUAAGCCGACCCGUCGUGGGAAGUUCGGCCGCGAAGGCUAAACGCGAAAGGAGUAGCGGCGNGNGAGNGCGACGACGACGACGAGGAGGAGG
rnacentral:rRNA from 1 species